AUUGAACGCUGGCGGCAGGCUUAACACAUGCAAGUCGAGCGAGCGGCGGACGGGUGAGUAAUGUCUGGGAAACUGCCUGUUGGAGGGGGAUAACUACUGGAAACGGUAGCUAAUACCGCAUACCAUCUGAUGUGCCCAGGUGGGAUUGGCAAGUAGGUGAGGUAAUGGCUCACAUAGGCGACGAUCCCUAGCUGGUCUGAGAGGAUGACCAGCAACAGGGGAACUAGGACACGGACCAAACUCCUACGGGAGGCAGCAGGGGGGAGUAUUGCGCAAUGGGCGCAAGCCUUAUGCAGCCAUGCCGCGUGUGUGAAGAAGGCCUUCGGGUUGUAAAGCACUUUCAGCGAGGAGGCGUUACUCGCAGAAGAAGCACCGGCUAACUCCGUGCCAGCAGCCGCGGUAAUAC
rnacentral:rRNA from 1 species